rnacentral:rRNA from 1 species
GACAGGGGAUGCAAGCGUUACUCGGAAUUACUGGGCGUAAAGCGUCUGUAGGUGUCUUUCCACGUCUGGCGUAAAAGCACUGGAGCCCAACUCCGUGUACGUGCCGGAAACGAGAGAGAUCGAGUCACUCAGAGGUAUCUGGAAUGCCGUGUGUAGGGGUAAAAUCCGUAGAUCCACGGUGGAACGCCAAAAGCGAAAGCAGGAUACUGGGGGUGCACUGACACUCAGAGACGAAAGCGUGGGGAGCAAAGGGG